CUUCCCGUCCCGGUCUACAAAUUUACGUCCCUAUUUUUCCGGUAUCGGUGGUCAUUUUCGGUUCCGUUUCGUGGAUUUACCAGCCGCUCCCACGUACUUGGGUAUGAGACUGAAUAAGCGGCGCGGCACUGGAAUUAAAACAAAGUGUUUUCUUGUUUCCCUCGGAACCAGCGGAAUCAAGUUAAAAAAAAGUUAAAAACUGAACGGCAUCCAAGUACGCACCGUCAGUACUAAGGGCAAUGGGGAAGCUGCAUGAUGGUGCUGCUGAUGGGGCAUCCGGAUUCCCAGCCGAGCGAAGUGGCACUAGUAGUGAGGAUCCUGAAGGUAGCCAAAAUUGUUUUAUAAAUGAAGCAACCAUGUAAUAUGUUCAACGUCGAGUUCAACAUCAGUACUC